ACAUCGUGUGUGCGCGAAGAAGGUUUUGAUCCUGGCUGAAGAUGAACAGAUCAGUGGAUGAGGCGUGAUCGUCUGUGUCUUUGAAGCCUGUCUGAAGCCAGCUUCCUUUUGAGAACCGAUUCUAGCCUACCUCUGUAGCUCCUGGGGGACACAGCAGGGGUUUGGUACUACAGAGGAUAGCGGUUUGAAAGGAACAAGGGAGAGAAAGAGAGAUGGAGGGAUUGGACGAGCAGA